GACUGCGAAUGGCUCAUUAUAUAAGUUAUCGUAUAUUUGAUAGUGCCUUACUACAUGGAUAACCGUGGUAAUUCUAGAGCUAAUACAUGCUAAAAAUCCCGACUUCGGAAGGGAUGUAUUUAUUAGAUUAAAAACCAAUGCCCCUCGGGGCUCCUUGGUGAUUCAUGAUAACUCCUCGAAUCGCACGGCCUUGCGCCGGCGAUGGUUCAUUCAAAUUUCUUCCCUAUCAACUUUCGAUGUUUGGGUCUUGGCCAAACAUGGUUGCAACGGGUAACGGAGGGUUAGGGCUCGACCCCGGAGAAGGAGCCUGAGAAACGGCUACUACAUCCAAGGAAGGCAGCAGGCGCGCAAAUUACCCAAUCCCGACACGGGGAGGUAGUGACAAUAAAUACUGAUACAGGGCUCUUUCGGGUCUUGUAAUUGGAAUGAGUACAAUUUAAAUCCCUUAACGAGGAACAAUUGGAGGGCAAGUCUGGUGCCAGCAGCCGCGGUAAUUCCAGCUCCAAUAGCGUAUAUUAAAGUUGUUGUGGUUAAAAAGCUCGUAGUUGAACCUUGGGCCUGGCUGGCCGGUCCGCCUCACCGCGUGUACUGGUCCGGCCGGGUCUUUCCCUCUGUGGAACCCCAUGCCCUUCACUGGGUGUGGCGGGGAAACAGGACUUUUACUUUGAAAAAAUUAGAGUGCUCCAGGCAGGCCAAUGCUCGAAUACAUUAGCAUGGAAUAAUAGAAUAGGACUGUGGUUCUAUUUUGUUGGUUUCUAGGACCGCCGUAAUGAUUAAUAGGGACAGUCGGGGGCAUCAGUAUUCAAUAGUCAGAGGUGAAAUUCUUGGAUUUAUUGAAGACUAACUACUGCGAAAGCAUUUGCCAAGGAUGUUUUCAUUAAUCAGGAACGAAAGUUAGGGGAUCGAAGACGAUCAGAUACCGUCGUAGUCUUAACCAUAAACUAUGCCGACUAGGGAUCGGGCGAUGUUAUUUUUUGACUCGUUCGGCACCUUACGAGAAAUCAAAGUGCUUGGGCUCCAGGGG
rnacentral:rRNA from 1 species